rnacentral:misc_RNA from 1 species
UCUCCGUUGGUGAACCAGCGGAGGGAUCAUUACUGAGUGAGGGUCUCCGGGCCCGACCUCCAACCCCAUGUGAACCGAAACCUGUUGCUUCGGGGGCGACCCUGCCUUUUGGCGCGGCGCCCCCGGAGGCUCAUCAAACACUGCAUCUUUGCGUCGGAGUCUUAAUGAAUUUAAACAAAACUUUUAACAACGGAUCUCUUGGUUCUGGCAUCGAUGAAGAACGUAGC